rnacentral:lncRNA from 1 species
CAAACAUAAAAAAUCCCACCUAAAUUUAAUGUACUGUUAUCUAUUUCUAGGAACUGGAGCUCUGCCGAAGGUUAUACAAAUUGCAUUUUCAAUUGCUGCUUCUGUUCCAGGCCUACUGUAAACUUAUCAACCAAGUAAAUACAAUAAAAAAUGAAGCAGAGGUAAAUAUUAAGUUGUCCUAGGCAUCAGUAACUGAAACACUAAAGUAUACAUACAUUUGUUAGGCUAGCUAACAUCAAAAGUCACUUACCUUGAAUCAUUUUCUUCAGUUGAGGAAUUUUUUUUUUUUUUAAAUGAUGUCCUAUGCCAGGACGUUAUUAGUGAAUCAGACAGCAAGUACUGGAUUCAGAGGUUCAAGACCUUACCGGUUUCUGAAGUAUAAACAGAUCAUGUGUAAUCAAAAGUCAAGCAAAGCACCUCAGUAAAAACCAAAUUGUACAGUGAAACCCCAACAUCCUGUCCAUGGAAUGUCUCUCCCGUUCUGUGAAUGCAACAAGAACAAACGGGUUAAAAACACCUGGGAUGUUGAAAAUCUUUAAUGUGUAGGUUCGUGGGUAAUGACUUCUCCUUUCCCCUUACCAGCUGGUACUAAAGCUCUCAUUAGGAAAAUGAUUUUUUUAAAUUGUUAAAUCCCUGAAAAUAUGUGUACAUAUGUUCAUGCUUUAAAAGUUUAACCAGUGAAUUUAUAAAGACUACUGUCAAAAAAGUUUUCAUGGUUCUCCCCCAUAAAUGUUUUUUACUACCCAAAUCAUAACAUGUAAUCACGUUAAAAUUAUCAUUCUGUAAGUUACAACUCAUUGCUGCUUUGUUAAGAAUUUUUAAAGCCUAUUCUGUGACUGGGAUUACUUAUUCCCACUGAAUAGAAAACAUGAAAUCUUAACUGCCCCUACUUCUAAGUUUAACAAAUGAGAGAAAACGCUUCCCCCAUCAGGUGUCUCCUCAUAGCCAGGUAAAUGCUUUGUGGUACUGACUAUGGGAAUGGGUCCCUAAAGGUGUAUUUGUUUUAGGUCAUCAACAUGUCAGAGGAACUUGCCCAGCUGGAAAGUAUCCUCAAAGAAGCUGAAGCUGCUUCUGAAAAUGAAGAAAUUGACAUUUCCAAAGCUGCACAAACCACUAUAGAAACUGCCAUUCAUUCUCUAAUUGAAACUUUGAAAAAUAAGGAAUUUAUAUCAGCUGUAGCACAAGUCAAAGCUUUCAGGUAAAAUGUGAAAGGAUUUAAAGAUAAAGAUGCCAUUAUGUAACUGGACUGGAAAUUUAUAAAGUUUAGGUUUUGGUUCUCGGUUUGAUAUUUCAAUAGCAUGUCUUUGUGAAGGGAAAAAUCCACGUUUAUUUUCAGUAGUUAUCACUGAAAUGAUACCAAUUUCAGAUUUUUUUCACUCUCAGGUGGUACUUUGAGUAAUAUAUUUGCUCAAACAAUUAAAAACAGGUCACUGGGCUGGGCAUCGGGCUUGGUAGUACAUACCUGUAAUCUCAGCAACUCGGGAGGCUAAGGAAGAUCACAGUUAGAAGCCAGCCUCAGCAACUUAGUGAGACCCUGUGUCGAAAUAAAAUACAAAAGCUGGGGAUGUGACUCAGUGGUUAAGUACCCCAGGAUUCAAACCCCAGUACCCAACAAAAAAAGGGCGGUUGGGUGGGGGAGUGGGGAUAUGGCCCAGUAGUAGAGCAUGCCUGGAUUCAGUUCCUGGUACUAUGGACACACAAAACAGGCUUCGUGUUAUUCACCAGGAAGUUUUGUGAUAUAUCAGUUAACUUAAAAUGUAGUUAAUCUUAACUAACAAUUGUUUGCACCUCAGAAUUUAAAAAGAAUAUGUGUUUUCAGAUCUCUCUGGCCCAAUGACAUUUUCGGCAGCUGUGAGGAUGACCCUGUGCAGACGCUGUUACACAUCUAUUUUCAUCACCAGACACUGGGUCAGACGGGCAGCUUUGCAGUUAUAGGCUCCAACCUGGACAUGUCAGAAGCCAACUACAAAUUGAUGGAGCUUAAUCUGGAGAUAAGAGAGUCUCUACGCAUGGUGCAGUCAUACCAACUUCUAGCACAGGCCAAACCCAUUGGAAAUAUGGUGAGCACUGGAUUCUGAGAAACUUCAAACAUUUUGGAGAGAAACUAAACUGAUGAUUAAGAAUAUUAACCAAGCACCUUUUAUGAACCCUUGUGAUUCACUGAUAACUUUCCUGGCAGCAUCUACAAUUGUAAUGUAACUAAUGUCAAACUGUAUCUGAAGGACAAGAAAAUCUAACAGCUGCCAAUACCUCCCACAGUAACUGUAUGAAGAAGGAAUUUUUUAAAUUAUUUAACCUAUGUGAAAAGAAAAGGGCUAAAAGUGAUGCAUACAAAUACAUUGCUUUCUGGAGAAAGAAAAGAAUUCCAAGAAUGUUUGCAAUAAUGGCCUCUAAUACUGAGACAUCAGAAAGCAGGUGAAAUGAGGCUGAAAUCAAGGCUGGUUCAUUUUAGCCGAAGACCUGCAAAGCUGCUUGGAUUUCUUGCAGCCAUCAACAUCACCUACAACUGAUGCUUAAUCACCCAACACGAACAUCCAGACCGAUAUAUAGACUUAUUUGCAAAAACCAUUGAUUUUUUUUUUCCCCUCAAUUUAUGGGAUAAGGGUUUGGGGUGUUUUGUUUUUUGGUCUGUGUAAAGAAUUAUGUGUGUGUGAGUUGGGAUGUAUGGAUACGUGAUAGUCAUAUUUUCAAGGUGUGGAUGUCUGGUGAUAACGUCUCAGAGCAUGCCUAAAAGAGCACUGCAAGAUUAUUUUUGAAGAAAUUUUAUUUUAUUAGAUCUAACUCUUCAUAGUGUGUAAAUGUUAGAACAUUUUAAUAAUAUUUUAAAACUGGGCUCUCCCAGUAUUUCAAAAAGAAAUAAUAUAUCUGUUAACGUUAUUGGAAUGCUGCUCAGUUCUCUGAUCAGUGCUUAUGUUACAAAAUUGUUGAUAACUAACCAAAGUAGAUGCCUGCAGAGACUUUAAAAUGUAAAAUAAAGAUGUAUGCUGCCCGUCAGCUAUUCUCAUUAGAAAAGUUAACUUAUUUUACACCAUAAUUAUUCUAGAAACUGUAUAGACUAAACCCAAUAUUUUCUUGUACAUUCGUGCCAUGCACUGUUAUACAAGAAUAGGUGUACAAAGCUAGAGGAAAAACUUUGGUCAUUGAUGGGAGAAUAUAUGGUCUGCAGGCUCUGAAGUCUGCAAAGAGAUGCAAAUGCAUUUUUAUGUUUAUUCAGGACUCACAUGUGUCGUGCUAAAGGAACCUGGGGCUAGAGGGGAGAUGAAAGGCAGCCUGAAGACUACCAAAACACGCAAUAUACUUACUAAGUCUGUAGCAUAACACGAACUGGAUUCUCUGUCCUUUUUUAAAUAGCAUUUUGUAAAAGAAAUGAAUGUAGUCCCACAAUUCCUCUGAUUUGAAAGGAACACCUUGUAUUUUUUAUAUGCAUCUCUUAUCCACUGUGACUAUUCUUUUAAACUGGGCUCUGACUACUUCAGAGUUUGGAAUGUAGAAAUGAAAUGCUUAGCUUUGCCUUUUCUUGGGGGUGUGAACCCUGCCAGAAAUGUAAUUAUGCUCAAGUGCAUUAAUUGAAGGCACUGUGCACGCCGUUGGACUGCUGACUCUAGUUGUUUCCUGUAAAAUUCCAUAACUGGUCACGGCACAUUCAUAAUCACUGUAUUUUUUGACCCUGAUAAAAACAAUUAUUUUAAUGGUGUUCUGGUACUGUAAAUGGUGUCCUUUAAAUUAUUUAAUAACUUCGGGUGUUGGGGCAGGCAGAGAGGGGGGUGUCCAGAGACACAUCACACUUUAUAUCCUAUCUUAACUCUCCCCUAUUUUUCUCGCCCUCCUUACAUUCUUUUUGUUAAAAAUAAAAAACAU